rnacentral:rRNA from 1 species
GGUCAAAUCAUCAUGCCCUUUAUGUCUUGGGCAACACACGUGCUACAAUGGCUGCAACAAAGUGAAGCAAGCCGGCGACGGCGAGCCAACCACAAAAAAGCAGUCUCAGUUCGGAUUGCAGUCUGCAACUCGACUGCAUGAAGCUGGAAUCGCUAGUAAUCGCGGAUCAGCAUGCCGCGGUGAAUACGUUCCCGGGCCUU